AGCAAGGUUAACCGUAUAGGGGAGCCGAAGGGAAACCGAGUCUUAACCGGGCGUUAAGUUGCAGGGUAUAGACCCGAAACCCGGUGAUCUAGCCAUGGGCAGGUUGAAGGUUGGGUAACACUAACUGGAGGACCGAACCGACUAAUGUUGAAAAAUUAGCGGAUGACCUGUGGCUGGGGGUGAAAGGCCAAUCAAACCGGGAGAUAGCUGGUUCUCCCCGAAAGCUAUUUAGGUAGCGCCUCGUGAAUUCAUCUCCGGGGGUAGAGCACUGUUUCGGCUAGGGGGCCAUCCCGGCUUACCAACCCGAUGCAAACUGCGAAUACCGGAGAAUGUUAUCACGGGAGACACACGGCGGGUGCUAACGUCCGUCGUGAAGAGGGAAACAACCCAGACCGCCAGCUAAGGUCCCAAAGUCAUGGUUAAGUGGGAAACGAUGUGGGAAGGCCCAGACAGCCAGGAUGUUGGCUUAGAAGCAGCCAUCAUUUAAAGAAAGCGUAAUAGCUCACUGGUCGAGUCGGCCUGCGCGGAAGAUGUAACGGGGCUAAACCAUGCACCGAAGCUGCGGCAGCGAACGUAUCACUUAAAGCGAUUCAGCGGGUUACGAUUGACGGAGCGAAGCGACGUCAAAGCGUAUACAAAGUCGAGUCGGUUUAAGGAUACGUUCGUUGGGUAGGGGAGCGUUCUGUAAGCCUGUGAAGGUGUGUCGUGAGGCAUGCUGGAGGUAUCAGAAGUGCGAAUGCUGACAUAAGUAACGAUAAAGCGGGUGAAAAGCCCGCUCGCCGGAAGACCAAGGGUUCCUGUCCAACGUUAAUCGGGGCAGGGUGAGUCGACCCCUAAGGCGAGGCCGAAAGGCGUAGUCGAUGGGAAACGGGUUAAUAUUCCCGUACUUGGUGUUACUGCGAAGGGGGGACGGAGAAGGCUAUGUUGGCCGGGCGACGGUUGUCCCGGUUUAAGCGUGUAGGUGUGUGUUCCAGGUAAAUCCGGUUCACUUUAACACUGAGGCGUGACGACGAGGCACUACGGUGCUGAAGCAACAAAUGCCCUGCUUCCAGGAAAAGCCUCUAAGCAUCAGGUAACAUCAAAUCGUACCCCAAACCGACACAGGUGGUCAGGUAGAGAAUACCAAGGCGCUUGAGAGAACUCGGGUGAAGGAACUAGGCAAAAUGGUGCCGUAACUUCGGGAGAAGGCACGCUGACACGUAGGUGAAGUGAUUUACUCAUGGAGCUGAAGUCAGUCGAAGAUACCAGCUGGCUGCAACUGUUUAUUAAAAACACAGCACUGUGCAAACACGAAAGUGGACGUAUACGGUGUGACGCCUGCCCGGUGCCGGAAGGUUAAUUGAUGGGGUCAGCGCAAGCGAAGCUCCUGAUCGAAGCCCCGGUAAACGGCGGCCGUAACUAUAACGGUCCUAAGGUAGCGAAAUUCCUUGUCGGGUAAGUUCCGACCUGCACGAAUGGCGUAAUGAUGGCCAGGCUGUCUCCACCCGAGACUCAGUGAAAUUGAACUCGCUGUGAAGAUGCAGUGUACCCGCGGCAAGACGGAAAGACCCCGUGAACCUUUACUAUAGCUUGACACUGAACAUUGAGCCUUGAUGUGUAG
rnacentral:rRNA from 1 species